rnacentral:misc_RNA from 1 species
UAAGGAAUAAAACGGAACCUGCACAUAGUUGAAACUUUGUUUGGUUUUGAGGGGUUUACCCUCAGAGCUUGUACUUUGAAAACUAAAUAAUAUCUAAUUUCUUUUUAUUGAAAACAAUAAACCGAGAACACCGCGUUAUUUGAGUUUAAUUAACGAAAUAAUCGCUAACUCAAUUAAUCAGGGUGAUCACGAAGUGAUCAUCAAGGU